rnacentral:rRNA from 1 species
AACCGAGAACUCCUACGGGAGGCAGCAGUGGGGAAUAUUGCGCAAUGGGGGAAACCCUGACGCAGCAACGCCGCGUGAAUGAAGAAGGCCUUAGGGUUGUAAAGUUCUGUUUUCUGGGACGAUAAUGGCGGUACCAGAGGAGGAAGCCACGGCUAACUACGUGCCAGCGGCCGCGGUAAUACGUAGGUGGCAAGCGUUGUCCGGAUUUACUGGGCGUAAAGGAUGCGUAGGCGGAUGUUUAAGUGAGAUGUGAAAUACCCGAGCUCAACUUGGGUGCUGCAUUUCAAACUGGAUAUCUAGAGUGCAGGAGAGGAAAGCGGUAUUCCUAGUGUAGCGGUGAAAUGCGUAGAGAUUAGGAAGAACACCAGUGGCGAAGGCGGCUUUCUGGACUGUAACUGACGCUGAGGCAUGAAAGCGUGGGGAGCAAACAGGGUUAGAUACCCGAGUAGUCCGACUGAGA